UUUGCUUGUUUUUUAGAGGCAGGGUCUUGCUCUUGUCACCCAGGCUGGAGUGCAGUGGCACGAUCACAGCUCACUGCAGCCUCAACUUCCUGAGCUCAAGCAAUCCUCCUGUCUCAGCCUCUCGAGCAGCUGGGAUUAUAGGCAUGAGCCACCACGCCUGGCUAACUUUUGUAUUUUUUUUUUUAUAGAGAUGAGGUCUUGCCAUAUUGCCCAGGCUGGUUUCAAACUCCUAGGCUCAAGUGAUCUGCCUGCCUCAGCCUCCUGAAGUGCUGGGAUUACAGGCAUGAGCCACCAUGCCCAGCCUGCCCAACCUCCUCAGUUCCAGAUUUUGAGGAAGCUGUCCCAGGAACCUGUGGCCACAGCCAUCCCAUCAGCUGUGACUCCCAGGCAGCUGACCCUGUUAUCGUGGCCAGAGAGGAUGCCUGAGGAAGAGGGAAAGGAGUCAGCCUGUCUCUCCAAGCUGAUUUGGAAAGCAGUGUGUGCAUGCGUAUGAAGAAACUGAGGCCCAUGGAGGAGUGACUUGUGCAAGGUCACUCAGAAAGUGAGCAACAGAAUUAGGAUUUGGAUUCUACCCCUGGCCAGUGUUAUUUUCAUCAGCACCUGGCCUCUUGAUAGAGAAGAAGCCAUCCUAUCUGACCAACUUCAGGCUAGUCUUAGAUGAGCCCUAGGCUGCUGUCAGGGCCCUCGGGCAACUCCAGAUCUCCUUGAUUCUGCCUUGAUUCCAUGUUUCCCUGAGGCUGUCUUGCCUCUCAGUGGGUGCCCCUGAAAUGCCAGGAACCCAGAACUGACCGGACAGUCAUGGUCCACAGAUCUCCUAGGGCAGGGAGAAGCCAUGGCAUUGGACAGUGGAGAGAGGCUGCUUAGAGCAACACUGAGGGAAGACAGUCCUAGUUGGGAACCAAGGGGUACUGGAUUCCAGGGGUGGAGUCACCCAGUGACAAAGGACAGCAGUAAGAGAGUCCGAAAUGGGAGCUGAUGGGGGGUACAGAAUGGGGAGGGAGGGCUGGGGAGGGUCCUUCCAGCUGAGGAAGCAGCAGCCAGGGCUGGCCCUUACCCACACGCUCAGACUUCAUGGAGUCCCAGACAUUGCAGUUGAAGUCGUCGUAGCCAGCGAAUAGCAGGCGGCCACUGAGGGAGAAGGCCACGGACGUGAUGCCGCAGAUGAUGCUCUCGUGGGAGAAGCAGAUCAGCUCCUGGUCUGCCCGCAGGUCAAACAAGCGGCAGGAAGCAUCAUCCGAGCCCGUGCAGAUGGCCUCUCCACUGGGGAAGAACUGAGGGCACAGGUGGCAAGUGCGUCAGGGAUCAGACCUGGGCAGCCCACAGCCUCUCCCGCCCUCUGCCUCCCAUCUGACAGCUCCAGGGCGAGCCGCUGCUCUCAGCCUCCCUGCCUGUCCCUUCCUUGGUUUGGGGUGAGAAGCAGCCCUGCCAACACGUACCACGUGCCAGUGACUUCCCUAUGCCCCUCGCCUGCUCCGCACUAUACAGCGCUGCAGGCAGGCAUCAUUUCCCUGUCGCAGGCAAGAGCACCAAGGCUUGCCUGCAGUGACCUGGCUAGAAGGGCGGACGGAGGUUGUCCCGGACUCCUAGACGACACAAGUGGGCUGGAUCGGGGUGUGCAAGAACAGGGUCCAGUACAAAUGCAAGGCCUGAAUCUCAUGGUGAGGAAAUGUCAGAUAAGCUCAAACGGAGGGAGAGUCUACAGAAAACUGGUUUGUACUCUUCAAAAAUGUCAGUGACAUAAAAGACAAUGAAAGGUGGGAAAACAGUUCCAGUUUAAAGGUGGUGACGAAAAAGAUAUGGCAAGGAAAUGCAAUGCACGUUUCCGGAUUGGAUCCUGGACAGAAAAAAACAUUAACUAUUAUGGACAUUUUUGAGGCAAUUGGUGAAAUUUGAAUAUAGACUGUAGACUGUAGUAUUGUGUCAAUGUUAAGUUCCUGAUUUUAAGAACCGCACUGUGAUUAUGCUAAGGAAGGGCUUUGUUUUAGGAAGUACUUAAGGGAU
rnacentral:sRNA from 1 species